rnacentral:lncRNA from 1 species
CAUCACGGUGACAGCACAGUGUCCCCAUGGCUACACAACAUCACGCGUAGGCUCCGUGGGUGCCAGCGGCCGCAGCAGGAGGAGGCAGCGCCGCACCCCCAGUACCACCAUGUGCCGCUGGGCCCCCCGGCCGCGCGCCCCACCAAGGCGGCGCAAGAGGAGCCCCCGGCCCAGCAGCCGGCGCAGGCGGCGCCGUGGGAAGAGGCAGCGGAGACGUUUCCAAGCGAAGACGGUGUAUUACUACCGGAGGAACAGGGCCCUGUGAGCGCUCGCCAUGCCUGCGCCCCUGGAGCACCCGUGGGCGCUGCCAUCCGCCCCAGCCGUGCUCCCCGAAGGCUGCUGGGGAUUCACCUGCCAUUAAAUCCUGCGUGUCAUCCUGCACAGCCUCCUCUGUCCUUCCUGGUGCCGCCGGCCCCAACGCACUCACCCCUGGUCCCUCCCAGACCCCAUCCGCCUCGGGGUCACCUCCCUCUCAGCCCUGCCCGGCCCCUGGCUCCCAGCCCCAGCACGGGGGGAGCUCACCGUGAACACCGUGGGUGGGUUUGGGGGUGGCCCACCGGGGGCCGUGGCUGCCCACAGGUUGCACACAAGGGCUGGCAUCCUGGGGACAGGGGGGCUCUGGGCUGGGUCCUGAUGGUGCCCCCACUGCCUCAGGGUGACAUGGAGAUGGGGGGACCCAGGACACAGACACCCGGCACGCACACUGCUCCGUGCCACGCAGGGGCUGCUCCUGGCCCCGCUCCGACCCAAGCAGCCCCUGCACCCACCGGGAGUAGGACAGGGACAGCAUUGGGACAGGGCUUCGACGGCUGGGGUCGAUGACACUGCCGUGACAGCAGGGUGAUGUGGAGCGCCCCAGUGCAGCCACACAUGAAGCAGUAAGAGGAGCAUGAGGCUCAGCACCAUCCUGGUGGCACUGAAUGACUGCGGGGCCCUGCAGGACCCGGGGCUGUCCCUGAGGGGACAGGCAGCCUGCCUGGGACCCCUGCCCAGCAAAGGGGGAGCUGGGCACGGCCACUAGCAAGGCGGGCUCUGCCGCUGCUGGGGUCAUCACGGGGCAGCCACGUCGCUGCCAGGAGCCUUCACCAGGGCAUGGUCCUGAGCCAGGCCCUGGGCUGUGACUGUGCCAUGUGUGGAGCUGCACAUGGG